rnacentral:rRNA from 1 species
UACGGGGGGGGCAAGCGUUGUUCGGAAUUACUGGGCGUAAAGGGCGCGUAGGCGGCCUUCUAAGUCGAACGUGAAAUCCCCGGGCUCAACCCGGGAACUGCGUCCGAUACUGGAAGGCUUGAAUCCGGGAGAGGGAUGCGGAAUUCCAGGUGUAGCGGUGAAAUGCGUAGAUAUCUGGAGGAACACCGGUGGCGAAGGCGGCAUCCUGGACCGAGAUUGACGCUGAGGCGCGAAAGCCAGGGGAGCAAACGGG